UCCUGCCGGACCUGACUGCUAUCGGAUUGAUACUAAGCCAUGCGAGUCAUUGUAGCAAUACAAGGCAGACGGCUCAGUAACGCGUAGUCAACCUACCCUAUGGACGGGAAUAACCUCGGGAAACUGAGUAUAAUGCCCGAUAGAACAUUAUGCCUGGAAUGGUUUAUGUUCCAAAUGAUUUAUCGCCAUAGGAUGGGACUGCGGCCUAUCAGUUUGUUGGUGAGGUAAUGGCCCACCAAGACUAUUACAGGUACGGGCUCUGAGAGGAGUAGCCCGGAGAUGGGUACUGAGACACGGACCCAGGCCCUAUGGGGCGCAGCAGGCGAGAAAACUUUGCAAUGUGCGAAAGCACGACAAGGUUAAUCCGAGUGGUUUCUGCUAAAGGAACCUUUUGUUAGUCCUAAAAACACUAACGAAUAAGGGGUGGGCAAGUUCUGGUGUCAGCCGCCGCGGUAAAACCAGCACCUCAAGUGGUCAGGAUGAUUAUUGGGCCUAAAGCAUCCGUAGCCUGCUCUGUAAGUUUUCGGUUAAAUCUGUAUGCUCAACAUACAGGCCGCCGGGAAUACUGCAGAGCUAGGGAGUGGGAGAGGUAGACGGUACUCGGGAGGAAGUGGUAAAAUGCUUUGAUCUCUCGAUGACCACCUGUGGCGAAGGCGGUCUACCAGAACACGUCCGACGGUGAGGGAUGAAAGCUGGGGGAGCAAACCGGAUUAGAUACCCGGGUAGUCCCAGCUGUAAACUAUGCAAACUCAGUGAUGCAUUGGCUUGUGGCCAAUGCAGUGUUGCAGGGAAGCCGUUAAGUUUGCCGCCUGGGAAGUACGUACGCAAGUAUGAAACUUAAAGGAAUUGGCGGGGGAGCACCACAAGGGGUGAAGCCUGCGGUUCAAU
rnacentral:rRNA from 1 species